CCUACGGGGCUGCUGCAGUGGGGAAUAUUGGACAAUGGGCGAAAGCCUGAUCCAGCCAUGCCGCGUGUGUGAAGAAGGCCUUCGGGUUGUAAAGCACUUUCAGUGGGGAAGAAAGCCUUGGGGCUAAUACCCUCGAGGAAGGACAUCACCCACAGAAGAAGCACCGGCUAACUCCGUGCCAGCAGCCGCGGUAAUACGGAGGGUGCGAGCGUUAAUCGGAAUUACUGGGCGUAAAGCGCGCGUAGGCGGUCUGAUAAGCCGGUUGUGAAAGCCCCGGGCUCAACCUGGGAACGGCAUCCGGAACUGUCAGGCUAGAGUGCAGGAGAGGAAGGUAGAAUUCCCGGUGUAGCGGUGAAAUGCGUAGAGAUCGGGAGGAAUACCAGUGGCGAAGGCGGCCUUCUGGACUGACACUGACGCUGAGGUGCGAAAGCGUGGGUAGCAAACAGGAUUAGAUACCCCUGUAGUC
rnacentral:rRNA from 1 species